GCUCUGAAAAGCCACGUGGGAAGAAGUAAGAGAAAAGUUUGGAGUGUUGUAAAUUCUGCUGCUGGUUACUCCUCGUCAGUGUCAGCUGGUCCCCCGAUGGGUCAUCCCUCAGCCAGGAGCAGAGAGCUGAGAGUAAAUAUGCAUGUGUGUGAAUGGCACUAGCACCUCUGCGAAUCGCCGUCCUUCACUGGAGCCAGCACAACGGAGUACAGGCACUUCCCUUCAUUCAGUCCCAGGAUAACAUGAGAAGAGGAUGAAGAAAGAGAUGUGCAUCCAUCUGUGAUCCGAACUUUCUGAAUAAAUUCAGUUUUUCCAGUGAAAGACAAAUGAACAAGCUCAUACUGCUCUGAAUAGCAACAAGGCGACUGCUUGCCAGCCUGUAAAAUCUGGUAUUGUCCCUCCUGGAGUCAGAGCUUGACCUUAAGAAAAUUCCUGCCAGUUUCUCCGA